GAUGCCGGAUGUGCACCUAAUUGCAAUAUUGACAAGAGAAAAGAUGGGCCAAUUUGAGUGUGCCAGUGUGAUCUUCCAGCUGGAUUAUGCCAUUAUAAACAAGACGGGCUUGCCUACGUUGGAAAUAAGGAUGUUCAGUUUGCAGUAAAUUCUGUUCAGAGCCCAAAGUUGAGCCCAGGGACCCCAGCAGCAUAAUCAAGGCCGUGAUUGAUGAGAUGUCAGCGACUGUUAGACAUAGUGUGUGACGCAUCCAGUCACGGGGGACCUGAGUGUUUGUCAUAAUGUCACAGCACCUGCUGCUGCUGCUACCUUGGGGUGUUGGGAAAAGGGAUGCGCCUGACGUGGCCGUCCCCUCCCCCAGCGCCCCGCAAGUGUUCGAGAGGAAGGCCGCGGGGGUAUCUGCCAUCAGGAAAGACAAAAUGGAGCCACGCAGGGGAAAGCAGCAUGGGGUGGGGGAAGGUGGCACGUUUCCGGCGCAGGGAGAGGAAGAACAGGUGCUCCUCCAAGGAAGACUGCCGCUGCUCCCCGGGCCCUGGCAGCCUGCCCCGCCGCAGAGCUGCGCGCACGCCGGCCUCCUGGCAGCGGAGCCCGCGGCGGAACCACCACAGCGAAGCAUUCUGUCCCCUCGCAGCUGCUCUCCCAAAAACUACAGGUCCUCCAGGAGGCCGAGAUAAACCUACGCGCAGCCUUGUCUUCCGGGAGAGGAGAGUGCCUGUUUCCCUACGCGAAAUGAUGUUUAAGAUCCCUGCCCGAGCCCCCAGUCCCGCAGUUAAGCAUCAACUGGCCGCCUAACGGGAUUGUUCUUCCGCUUGGCAUUUGCAAGGGAUGGAUUUUUCUCCGUUCUCUCCUCUGCCAAGUUUGCCUCCUCUGAGGCUCUCUGGGAGGGUAUUUGUAACUCUGCAGUUCAGUUUGAGGAAGGAAAAAAAAAUAAGACAAUUUUCCAAAGCAAUCGUGUGGUCUUUAAAAUAUUGUUAUGUAAAUGAAUCUAAUGUGUCUCUAAAUUCAUUAAGUGGGUUGGAGGGUUACUAGCCCUGGAGGGCCCCAGCGAAAUUGGCAGAGACAUUUUCACUGUCUAGGUUGUGGUUGUUGACCUUUUCUUCUGUCUUGCUUACCCUUUCCUAGGGAGGAGGCAGGAACUCGAGGGGCUUAUCGGAGUGGCAGAAGGAAAGCCCCCACUGAAAAUGCCUGUUAUGCGCCUUCUGGGAACCGUCCUCCUCUUUCACUUCCUCCCAGCCCCAGCUGGAAUUCCCAAAUGUAGCCUAAACCAGUACCAUACCUGCUAGACAAAUUGUAUAAAUUAGACAUCCCUAAGAGGGAGGAGAAUUUUGGAUGGGGAGCAAAUAAAGGAAAAGGAAGCUGCCAAAACAGUGAGUCUUGGUCAGAAUUUCACAGUCAUUUCUCAGGUCUGGGUUGGAGGAUGUAAACACAGGGGAAGUCAAGACAGAUUGUUGCCAUCCUAGCUACUUUUUGUAAUUGGGAAGCAUGUAAAGAUUGACUCCUUUUUCUUGCGUCCUUCAAAGAGCACGAAAAGUGGGGCAGUAAGUAUUCAAAAGCAUCUGUUUCCUGCCUGAACCCCUCUGAGUACCAGAGGGGGCCAGCAGAAGAACCUGCCAUGGUCCGUAAACAUGCAGGGAAGGCUGUGACAUAGGAAGCCAGGCCCACAGCUGAGCCUCCCAAGGAUGAAGAUAGGCAUUCAUCGAAAAACUGUUUUUGUGUUUCUUCCAGUACUGCUACUUUUUAAGUAUAAUUUACAUACAAUAAAAUGCAGAUUUUUAAGUAUACUGAUCUAUGGAUUUUGACAAGUAUGUACACCCAUGGAACCCACCACCCAUCAAGAAACAGAACUUAGGCCGGGCAUGGUGGCUCACGCCUGUAAUCCCAGCACUUUGGGAGGACGAGGCAGGCGGAUCACCUGAGGUCAGGAGUUCAAGACCAGCCUGACCAAUAUAUAGUGAAACCCCAUCUCUACUAAAAAAAAAUACAAAAAUUAGCUCGGUAUGGUGGCACAUGCCUGUAAGUCCCAGCUACUUGGGAAGCUGAAGCAGGAGAAUCGGUUGAACAUGG
rnacentral:lncRNA from 1 species